GAGUUUGAUCGUGGCUCAGGAUGAACGCUAGCGGCAGGCUUAACACAUGCAAGUCGAGCGGUAACAGGCGUAGCAAUACGUGCUGACGAGCGGCGAACGGGUGAGUAAUGCUUCGGAAUCUUCCUCGUAGUGGGGAAUAACCUGGGGAAACUCAGGCUAAUACCGCAUACGAACUACGGUUGAAAGCAGAGGAUCGCAAGACCUUGCGCUAUGAGAUGAGCCGAAGUCGGAUUAGCUAGUUGGUGAGGUAACGGCUCACCAAGGCGACGAUCCGUAGCUGGUCUGAGAGGACGACCAGCCACACUGGGACUGAGACACGGCCCAGACUCCUACGGGAGGCAGCAGUGGGGAAUAUUGGACAAUGGGGGCAACCCUGAUCCAGCGACGCCGCGUGUGUGAAGAAGGCCUGCGGGUUGUAAAGCACUUUUAGUGGGGAUGAAAAGCCGAAGGCUAAUACCUUUCGGUCUUGACCUAACCCAAGAAAAGCACCGGCUAACUCUGUGCCAGCCGCCGCCGU
rnacentral:rRNA from 1 species